AUCCUAAGUUUGGGGUUUUAUCAAAAUGUUGGAGACACCGAUGAAAGGUAGAUAAGUGCAAAAAGAAAGAAAAAAUUCAAAGAAAAAAAAAGAGAAAUGAAAAAAAUGUAUAUCAUGAGAAGUAUCAUGAAGCACUUAUCUAGAAGUAUUAAGGUUGGCAAAAAAAACAUGCUCAAAGAGCAAUAAAAGAAAAUAUAUGAGCCAAUGAAUCUCAACAAGAAUGGUGUCCAAAAGAAAUACCCCUGAUUUUUAGAUUGAACAACAGUUACGAGGGUAACAACAUGAACUCUGAGCCUAAACCCCUAGUGUUUUCGUUUUUGUGUUUUGACUCCCCACCUUACACCUUAG
rnacentral:lncRNA from 1 species